UACGUAGGGGGCAAGCGUUGUCCGGAUUUAUUGGGCGUAAAGAGCGUGUAGGCGGCUUGGGAGGUCCGCUGUGAAAACUCGAGGCUCAACCUCGAGAUGUCGGCGGAAACCACUUGGCUAGAGUCCGGGAGAGGAGAGUGGAAUUCCUGGUGUAGCGGUGAAAUGCGCAGAUAUCAGGAAGAACACCUAUGGCGAAGGCAGCUCUCUGGGACGGUACUGACGCUGAGGUGCGAAAGCGUGGGGAGCAAACAGG
rnacentral:rRNA from 1 species